UACGUAGGGCGCAAGCGUUAUCCGGAAUUAUUGGGCGUAAAGAGCUCGUAGGCGGUUUGUCGCGUCUGCCGUGAAAGUCCGGGGCUCAACUCCGGAUCUGCGGUGGGUACGGGCAGACUAGAGUGAUGUAGGGGAGACUGGAAUUCCUGGUGUAGCGGUGAAAUGCGUAGAUAUCAGGAGGAACACCGGUGGCGAAGGCGGGUCUCUGGGCCGUAACUGACGCUGAGGAGCGAAAGCGUGGGGAGCGAACAGG
rnacentral:rRNA from 1 species